rnacentral:rRNA from 1 species
CAGCAGCCGCGGUAAUACGAGGGGGGCAAGCGUUGUUCGGAAUUAUUGGGCGUAAAGGGCGCGUAGGCGGUUUGGCAAGUUUGGUGUGAAAUCUUCGGGCUCAACUCGAAGUCUGCAUCGAAAACUGCCGGGCUUGAGUAUGGGAGAGGUGAGUGGAAUUUCCGGUGUAGCGGUGAAAUGCGUAGAUAUCGGAAGGAACACCUGUGGCGAAAGCGGCUCACUGGACCAUAACUGACGCUGAGGCGCGAAAGCUAGGGGAGCAAACAGGAUUAGAUACCCCCGUAGUCCCUGUCUCUUAUAC